rnacentral:rRNA from 1 species
AUUGAACGCUGGCGGCAGGCCUAACACAUGCAAGUCGAACGAGUGGCGGACGGGUGAGUAAUGUCUGGGAAACUGCCCGAUGGAGGGGGAUAACUACUGGAAACGGUAGCUAAUACCGCAUACCAUCGGAUGUGCCCAGAUGGGAUUAGCUAGUAGGUGGGGUAACGGCUCACCUAGGCGACGAUCACUAGCUGGUCUGAAAGCAUGACCAGCCCGACUGGAACUGGAACACGGUCCAGACUCUUAAGGGAGGCAGCAGUGGGUAAUAUUGCACAAUGGGCGCAAGCCUGAUGCAGCCAUGCCGCGUGUAUGAGGAAGGCCUUCGGGUUGUAAAGUACUUUCAGCGAGGAGGCGUUACUCGCAGAAGAAGCACCGGCUAACUCCGUGCCAGCAGCCGCGGUAAUAC